UUCAUUCUUGUUAGAACUUGUUCGUCGGUUUUGAGUUUAUUUUGGUCUUCAUCUACUAUUGAGUGUGCUCAAGAAGAUYGAAGGGCAUUCAGCUUCCAAGAUUAUUUUCGAGUACCAAAACACUUGCUGACUGGACGUGAAGAUGAUUCGUUUCUUUUUCGCCAUGUUGAUCAUCUCUGAGAUGACAUUUUCAGUGUCGCUGGCCAACAACACCAACAAGGAGGAAUCGGUGGUUUAUCUUCAUUUUAUGAAUCCCCUUACAAUAAAUAAUACUCAGAUGAAAGAAAGUGCUGCCGGACAAGGAAAGAACAGUUAUAAUGAAAAAUAUAAGAGAAAUGAGCCUGCUCGCUCAUGUCUCGAUCAC